AUUGAACGCUGGCGGCAGGCUUAACACAUGCAAGUCGAGCGAGCAGAGGACGGGUGAGUAGUGUCUUGGAAAAUGCCUGAUGGAGCGGGAUAACUACUGGAAACGGUAGCUAAAACCGCAUACAAUCCGAUGUGCCAGGACUGGAUUAGCUAGUUGGUGGGGUAAUGGCUCCCCUGGGCGACGAUCCCUAGCUGGUCUGAGAGGCUGACCAGCCACACUGGAACUGAGACACGGUCCAGACUCCUACGGGAGGCAGCAGUGGGGAAUAUUCCACAAUGGGCGAAAGCCUGAUGCAGCCAUGCCGCGUGUAUGAAGAAGGCCUUCGGGUUGUAAAGUACUUUCAGCGGGGAGGCGUUACCCGCAGAAGAAGCACCGGCUAACUCCGUGCCAGCAGCCGCGGUAAUAC
rnacentral:rRNA from 1 species